GAGAGUAAUUGGGGAUUGGGGAAAUCAGAACAUCAUGGUCUUGUGUCAGUUGCCGUGCCACAACAAGGACCAACGUUAGAUUGCGGGAUCUUUAUGAUUGAAUUCAUUAACAGCAUUGUCGAAAAAUGGUCGAUAACAAUUUCAAAAGGAGAUUGUGCAAAAUAUAGAGCAAAGUUUUGUGCUGCUCUUUUGUAUGCACGCGAUUCACCUUUUUUGUAAAUAUUAUUUUAAUUUUCUCCAAGGUUUUUGUUGUGUAUUCAAUGUUGUAAGUAUGUUCAUGUUGUUAAUA